UAGCAGUGAGGAAUAUUGGUCAAUAGCCUAACGGCUGAACCAGCAACUUGGAGGAACAUACAGCAAUAGCUGGUUGCAUUGACAAUAAGUUUUUACAACAUCGACUAUGUCGAAUAAAGUUCUAGGUAGAGUUAUGAUAAUGACAUUUUCUAUCUAUGUGUCUUGACCAAAUCACGUGCCAGCAGUCGCGGUAAUACGUGGAAGACUAGUGUUAUUCAUCUUUAAUUGGUUUAAAGGGUACCUAGACGGUCUAUUAAGCCCUUAAAGGGUACUUACAGACUAGAGUUUGAUGAGAGGGGGGAAGUACGAGAGAGUGUAGAGAUGAAAUUCUGUCAUACCUUACUUGGAACAGGCAACGGCGAAAGCAACUCCUUAUGUAAAAACUGACGUUGAAGGACGAAGGA
rnacentral:rRNA from 1 species